UAGGCGGACUUGAGAAGGGACAAAGAUGGCGAAGUGAGGUGUGCCGUGGCGAAGCGGCCCUUGGGCCGGGGACGGGUCGGCCCUUGGGCAGUCGAGUGAAUCUGUUGGACCGUGGGGGUUAUCCGAGAAGCCAACGAGGGAAGAACGAGCAGGCGGAGAAAAAAUGAAGAUAUGGGGCAGAGAAAAGGAACAGAACAUUCUUCCUAUCUUACAGACAUUUGAGAGGAGUGGUCAUCUACACUAAAGCCAAGAUGGUUCCUCAUCACAGGAAGAACAUUUUCCUUGACCUUUAGGUGCUUUUUAUAUUUUCUUCAUCUCAAAAAGAAAACAAAAGUCUGAACUCAGGACUUGGCACAGAAUUUCUAUCUUCUCUUGGAGUGGAAGUCCUGCUUCUUUUAUGUGGCCACUUUUCCUAUUCUUGAAAUGUGGAUAUCUCUUCUCUGCCCUUUGCCUCGAUGAUCUGGAAUGGGAAAGGCCACUUUCUUUUUCCACCUCUCAUAUUCAACACAGUGGAGCCCCUAUGAUGCAGUCAUCCUGCCCACUUUUCCAGGAAGAAAGAAGCAACUGACGUGGGUUUUCUGCUGCUGUUUGCUUAACUGUAAAGAAAUUAUUUGCAAACUCUAAUCUGUUUAAAUUGAAACGGUGCUUACUUGCUGGUAUUUGUGAAUUCUUUACCUUUUCUUCCAAACAAGAAGACUAAAUAGCAAGUAUGAAUGAUUUCAGGUUUUUUUACUGUCUUCUAGUCUCAGCCACUGUCAUAAAAAGCACACUUUAAACUGCAGCAGUAAAUUGCAAAUAUAUGUUCCAGUUUGGAAUGAAAGAGAUACUUAAAAAUUAUAUAUAUUUAUAUAGCUAAAUCCUAACUCAUCCCAUGACAUAGAUUUGCUGACUAAGAACAAAUUUUGCAGUUAAACCUUUGGUAUGAUCAAGAAGCUUAAAGACAACAUAUUUUAAGGUUAGUUUACUAUGUGAAUAAACCAUCACAAUCUCUGUACAAUUACACAUUUUUGCAUGUGUAAAUUCACAUUUUUGGAUUAGACAGGGGAUUUUUCUCCAAGAGAAGGAAACUUACUUUUCUCAGAGUUCUUUGGACAUUUGAUAUUUUUAAAGGUUUCUUCCAUUCUCCAAGGAAGGAUCAGAUUGUGCAGAACCUCACUCUGUGAAUGCACACUUGGGUUGAGUGAAAGGGUGGUAAAAGAAAACGAAACAGUUUGAGUCUAGUAUGGAAACCUCAUUUACCUCCUUAGGAUGAGAGGUUGCUAUAUUCCAAAUUAUGUCAUCCUUUUUUGUGGAGUCUUAUAUAGCACUUGAGACGUGGUUUUCCAUGCUGUUAAUGCUAGAAGAAAACUGGCAUAAGUGGUUGUUCAUUUUAGAAGAUGCGAUGGACCCUAUAGUAUUACCUGCCUUCAACUUUGGACAUAGAAGAGUUGGGAAAAAGAACAAGGAAAGUUUGCACAUAACUUCUUUCUAAGCAAAAACACCUUAUACAGCUCCAUCUGACUUUUUGGUGUUUUACAUUCUGUUGCUCCAUUUUUUGUAAAAGCGUAAAUAACUUUUUUCUCUGACCAACAUGAGGACCUAGAUAUUUGGCUUAUUUUUCUAGGUGAUAGUUGUAAUAAUAGGCUGAAAAGGCUGGGACUCAGGUAACUCCCAGUUACUUCUCUUUAGGAAGUGGCCUCAGAAGCAAUGUUGCCGAACUUGUGGCUGGGUCAUUGUAGAUUCAGAAGAAAUCUGGGGUCUGAGAAAAACCCUUAACCAAGAAGAAAAAUAGUUCCAACAAGAAAUAUGGAUCUUCCCUUCCUUCCCUUAAAAAUUAUGCCAUGUGAAGAACAGACUGUAGUAGAAAGCUGUUCUUUCUUCUGGAAUCCAUAGACCACCAUUGUAUGACUUGUCAGAUCUUUACAUAAGUAGAAACUUUUACUCCUUUGAAUAAAGUAAAACUUAGAUGAAAUUAGGAAGAGAUAAAUCAUCUCUUUGUUCUAGGGAAUGUUUACCCAGAUCCAUACUUGCUUUGAUGCUGGGAAUUUGGGGCAGAUUUUCCAAAAUUUGAUAGUAAUAGAAAUGGCCAAACAUGGAGAAUAUUGAGCACUCUAACGACUAACCAAAUUGGUCAAUCAAUUUGAAUUGUGAUAAGAAGGCUUUUUAGGAAAAUAAUUACAUAAUGUAGAUAAAGUAUCAUUUACUUUGAGGGCAAUUACUGAGUGGUAAAGUGUAAUAGAAAUAACUUUGGUUAAAGGUUACUUAAAUUUUCCUCUUAAGUGACUGACCUCCCAGCCACUUCCUAUUGUUUUCCCUUAGUAUUCUGGACUUGUUAAAAGACAGAAUGGAACCUACAUACAUGGGUCCCACCAGAGUGUUGAGAAUAUCAUAAGGAGAAUUUGUGUCUUUGAAAUGUCCAUUACCCAUCUUCUCCAUGUCCUUUUGGCUAAAUUUCAGGUAGGAUCCUUUGGCAGAGGAUAGAGUAACUAUACUGUCAGAGCACUAGGGAAACCAACUCUCAUCCACUUGUUUGAACAGGUAUCAAACCCAGCUUUUCCAGAUGCUUUAUAGUUUCAGUUCACAGCUAAAUGAACCAGUUUAACGCCCCCUUUCAAACUGUUCCUGCAUCCUCCAUGGUUAUCACCUGGUAGCAUUUAACAACAUGGGAUUAUUGCAGUUGUACUUGCCUACAUCUUUUUUUUUUUUUUUUUCUUUUUGGCUUUAUUUUAGUUCUCUUUGUGGUGGUAAAAGCUGUAAUGUUGGGCAGGACUAUUCCUCACUGUAGCUGUGCCUGCUUCCUUUCCUUGCUCAUCUUUGUUAGCAGUUUUUCUUUUGAAAAUUUAAACGAGAAUGUGCAAUAGAAAUAUAUAUAUGUAUAUUUUAAUACUUGUGGACAAAAUGUUACAAGUUGUUUAAGAACAACAAAAUCACCAAUGUCUUCCAUUUUGAGAUGUGUAUAGUUUUGUAAGCAUUAGCGCUUGGUAGCAAAUUGUAGUGGUAUGUUAGGAGUUAGUGCAUGAUCCUAGUAGUAACUUUAAACUUCAGGAUGAAUUGAUAAUAAUAACCAAUAGUGUAAAAAAAAGGGGGGGGGGAUCUUGACCUUUACUUAUUUCAUAAAUAUCUGAACCUGUGAUAUUCUCCUGGGGAAAGGAGAUUAAGGCCAAAAAGACUCCCUUAUGAAUAGAAAUGUGGGUUCAUAAUUUGAAAUAUUUUGAUGAUAUUUAAGCUUUCCAGAGGUUGCUGGAAACAGACUGUCUUUGACAGUUUCAGGAAACUUCAAAUUAAAAUGAGAACCCAUUUCAUGAUACUGCUUUGCUCUCUCAGUUGGAAGUGAGAUUGUGUCUUCACAUUGUAUCGCUUUUAGGUUAUUUUUCCACUCCUUUUGCAUCAAGAAAUUAUUUUAAAUUUUGCUUGUCCUACUGAGAUGCUAUGUUAAUUGCUUUGGUGACUGCUUUUCUAAUCUCUUAACCAUUUACAUUUCUUCUCUACAGCAUGGUAUACUUUAUGCAAAAAACACUUUGUCAGUUCAGUGUUUCAGAUUAUGAAUUUGCUACAGGCUUUCCCUAUUGUGUUGAUGAGAUUCCAGGCCUUUACGUGAGAAUUGGAAAAGUAGCUAAAUGGAGUCCACCUAGAUUGCAUGUCAUAAGUGGACUGACUCUUCCUUGGCUAUCUAAGCCUCUGAUAGCUUUUGCUUUUUUCUGCUUUCCCUGUGGAAAAGCAUGUUAUAAAAGCAUAAUAAAGCUUUCUGUGGAAAAGGAAUUCCUACUUUUAAAGGCUGCUUUGAGAAUUUGGACAUGGCAGUUUUCAUGAGGUGAUUGUAACAUCUCACAGAGUCCAGGAUUUAUUGAUAUAGAUUCUAUAGUUAGUAUGAUAGAUAAUACCAAAACAAAAAAACACCACACUUUAAAAUGUGAUGUAUCUCAUGUGAAGAAGCAAGCUUGAACAAGUAGGCCCUUUGGCAGUAGAUAUUCAGGGACCCAUGUUAAUACUCUCAUAGUGUACUUAAAGUAGUUGUAGUACUCUUGGCUCAAAUAGUUUAGUGCCUGGUAGAAUCCACUUCUGAAAAGUGUUUUUAAAAUGUUUAAAUACCUCUGAAAAGGUAAUGAAUGCAAAAUAGCACAGUAUAUAGGAAAGGAUAUUUCCUGUUGCAAAAAAAAAAAAAAAAAAAAAAGCCAUAAAAUGAAUAAUGUUCAAGAGGUAAAAUUUUAGCAGCAAUAACAGUUUUGCAUGUUUAGUAAAUUGUAUUAGCAAGGUUGUAUAGUAGAAUAAGUGUUACCCCUGGAGUGGCUCUGUGAUCAAUAGCUGCAUAAAAGGAAAAAGAUGAUCUGGGUAAAAAAGCAUAUAAAUGAUCCAUUUUUCUUCCUUUUAAAACAGUAUAAAUGAAUGUGUAUGAAUUUAUGAUAGUUUGUGUCUAAGUUAAAAGCUAAGGACCCUAUUUGUUUUCUAAAGCAGAAGGUUAGAGCUGUUGAAAUGAAACCUUUUUAGUGCUUAACCUGGAAACUGUUGUACUCCAGCUCCCUAAAGCAGUCGUGGGGGUUUCUGCUCAAGAUGUCCUUUUAACAAUAGGCAUUGGUUUUCUGGGAUCAUUUUUAAAAAGAAAAAAUCUGUCUGUGUUUGGGGUUAAGAGAAAAGCCAAGAACUUAGACACCUGGCUUUUCCUCAUGCUUAUGGUUAGGGAAGUUAGGAUUUAAAGGUGAAAACCAAAAGGACUGAAGGGAAUAGCCAGCUAGUGUAUGAUGUUUGCUUAUUAGUAGUCGUAUUUUUAAAACCUGUUUUAAAACCUGUUUAGUAAUAGGUGUGCCAAGGCCUGUGGCCUAUGACUGUGUAUUCUUUUAAGAAGGAGAAUUUAGCAAACUAGUUUCUGUUUUGACCUGAGGAGUCACACAGCUCGGCUCACAUCAGGGCAUUGACUUCUUAUUCCCUUUACUUCAUGUCCAUCUUGGCCAUUUAGUACCUUGAAAAUGGUUAAAUUCCUGAAAAGGUUGGAGCUACAUUCCCUUGUUUUCCCAGGGGAAAAACAAACUAAAAGAUAGGCGGUAUCAAUUUCAGAAAGUAGUGCCUCUUGAAUAUUUAAUUCCUACAUGGCAACUCCAAAGGGAAUCCUAUAUUAAACUAGUUAUAGCCCCUCUUUAAAUGUCCUGUGCUGCUGGUUCGUGUUAGAGACAUUGGAAUAACAAGCAAUAUUCUAACAUCUGCAAGGUCAUGGAGACACCACUGCAAAUUCCAGUGAUGUUAACAGUUCAGUUACUUGGAGAGAUUUAAAGGGUUAUCCUUAACAACCAUGUUAAUAUUUCUAAAUGUUAAAAUAUGCUACAAGUUUUUGUAGUCUCAGAGUAUUCUGUUAAUUACUUUUCAGAGCUACUGUGGUAUCAUGUUUAUUACUCUUUGUGCACCUGUGAUAUGCAAAAUAUGAAGAGACCCUUGGCCUCGAGGAGUUUACAUUCUCAUGGUGCUGCUGGUGCAAGCAAAUUGCUUCUAAGCUUUAUUAGAACAUUGCUUGGCUAUUAUACCAUAUUUGGAAGGAUUCCUUGACCAACAGUUUUCAAAAGCAGAGGGCUAUGCUAAAUUUCAGGGCAUUGAUGUUUGAGUUUACAUUUUAUUAGCUCUGCUGUUAAUAAACUCCUUUUCUCCAGGGAGCUGUGCAGGGCAGUGUUCAUUAACGAGAAUCAGGUAGGAAACCCUUCUGCAUAAGAGCAUUUUCAUCAUCCCUACACCACCUAUGCUCUUCUUUGAUAUAACUGUCAAUAAAUGGCCAAGAAUACUUACUGCGCCAUAAGAUGGUGUAUCUUUCAAUUUUCUUUUUCUUUUCCCAAAGUUUUUACAUCAUUCCCUACCCAAAAGGACCAGGAUUUGCAUAUAAGCCUAAAAAUUGAGUAGUGGUCCUAACUUAAACCAUUUUUGUGUGGCUUCUGUGCCUUUAUUCUGAAUCAGCAUUGUGAUAAAUGUGGAGAGCCUGCCUGUUCUAAGCAAUCACUCUUUUAAUCCACAUUUUCAGUUGAAACUUUGCAUGUAUCCUAGUAAUUUCCCAUUAAUUCCUCUGAAUUGUGGGGUUUACUUUGCAUGUUUAUUUAAAUGGAUCUGGUUGAAAGUUCAAGUUAAUAGUAGCAGGCCCAUAAUUCUGAUUUUAGAAUACUAAUCUAAUGCAUGAUAAAAAAUGUCCAGUGUUAUGUGGUUAGUAGUAAUUUUAUAUAUGCAUUUAUUAAUAAUGAAGCAAUAGAAACUUAAACCAAUAGCUUGAAUUUAUUGUUUGGAUUAUCAGUUUUCCUUUUCUAAUUAAAAGAUUAUCUUACUUCCAUUGAAAAUGGAAGGUAAAAAACAGGGGCAACCACAAGACAUUCAAACUGUUAGGAAUAGGACAUAACAGUGCUUACCCUCUCUCUUAUCCUCUUGCCUGGUUCCAUUAGUCCCCAAGCAUGUUUAAAAAGAAAACAAAAGUUACACACUAAAAGCAUGUUAAAUAAAUAAAUAAGCUGCUACAGCUAUAAUAGAAAGGUGCAGAGUUUCAAGAAAGGGUAGGAGAAACCAGUGUAGAGUACAUAAAAUAACUACAUAUGGGGUUUGUCUAAUAAAGUUUUCAGGUAACUAGGCAACUAUUAUGGGUGGUAUUUGUAUUGACCAGCAAUAAAGGACCCCUUGCAGCAAUGGAGACUAUUUCAUAUUAUGGGAUAGUCCUAAAAAUCCUGAUGCCUCUGUAGUUUUCUCUUUUGUUAAUUGUAUUACAUUUUUAAAUCUUUUUUCCUUUUCUAACUAGAAAUUAUAAAAUCUUGUUGGUUUGGUCAGACUGCACAAUUAUUUUUGGAAGGAAAUUGAGUGGCUGAGAAAUGGCUAGAGAGAGACUUUGCUUUUCACCAUAUAACCUUUUGUACCAUUUGAAUUUUAAGACUGCACAGUUUCUUGCAUAAAGCUUUAUGCUCUAAGUAAAAGGAGAUAAAAUAAACCUUGCCAUUUUCUUAUUUGAUGAAAAAAAAAAUUGCUUCAAUUCAUUGUGGUAGCUCAAAACUUCCCUUGAGAAGGAAGAUUCCUGACUUUGAAGUAACCUUUAUAAGUACAUGUGAUCAUGACAAAUAAUGUACAAAUGGAAAGCAUAUCUGAAAGGGCCCUAAAAAGAAAGAGAUCAGGAAAGACUGGAUGGUUUUCACUAGGUUCCUUCCAAGCCUUAUGUUCUAUAAUUGAAAUUUUUCUUUACUCUGGAAAUAAGCUCCAAAUAUCUUUGGGAAUGUUUAAAUGGGAUGGUAACUUUCCAUUGGUUCAGAGUUGAAUUAGACUUGUCAUUUCAAAGUUUGGUCUCCACUCAUGUAUAGCAAUGGAAAGAUGUCAUACAAUGUGUAAUUUCUCUCUUUGCCACUUUCUGAAAUCUGUCAACCAGUGAAAUCAAUAAAGGACAGUUUUUCCAACUAAAGCAUAUUAAAAGAAGUGGUACCGAAAAAAAUCAAACAUCACAGAUUUCUGCAGGAAUCCAUACUCUCAAACUUUCCUUAAAGUCAGAAUAGAUAAGGGUCCUGACCAUUUUCAAAAGGUUUCACCUCUCUCGUGAUGGUGUGCUAUGCCAUUGGUGAAAAUAUAUUUUUCUCCCAGGAAUAAGAAUGAGAUUCCUGCAAUACAUUACCAUCAGUCUUUAAAGAAACAACAGUAAUAACCUUGGCACUAACUUAAAAUUAUUCAUCUCUACGACUCAGAGUGCCCUUCAUGGUCUAAUUUGCUGCCUUGUAAGUUAUUUACUUGCUGUUCUGCAUCCCCUCUAUUCCAUCAUUGCUAUAUUUAUAAUGUUGAAUUUAUUGAAUAUAUUUGUAUUACAAAAGGCAGCUUACUUUUUAAUCUAUGCAUCUGGGGUUUCUGAAGAAGAGAUUUUAUUCUUUGAUGUAAAAAGGAAAUGUUAUAAAAGUUGGAAACUCUGCACCUAUGUAUAAAUUAUUUUUUAAGCAAUAAAGCAGCAUGGGCUGAAAAUGCA